UCUAGGCUCCAGGAUACAGCAGGAUGGUUUUUAAACAACUGGCCCUCCCGGAGCAUACUUUAUUCCAGUAAGAGAGACAGAAAUACACAGAUAGGGUAAUGGCAGGCACUAAGACCGGCUAUGAAGAGAGAGAGGCUGGGAGGGCCCUCUGCAGAGGUGUAAACGGAGCAAGAGAAGGACUAUCCUGACAGAGGCAGCGAGGAGGCCGAGGUGCUGAGACAGGAUCCAAAGGACGUUCCGAGGACUGUAUGGAGGCCAGCAGGCUGGAGCCAGGAGAGAGUUGGAGUGAAGGGGUAGGGGAAAGGAGUUGCUGUUGCCAGGCUCCACCAGGAGGGAGAAAAAGGCUGCCACUGACCCUCACCUGUUCUCAUGCACACCCCUGAGAUGAGGAAACUGAGGCUCAGAGGAGUCUGACAACCUGUCCAAGUUUCUGCAGGCAAGUACAGCACAUAGCUGAGCCAGGAUAUCAUCCUGUGAUCGUUUCCAAGGUCACCUUUACCCCACGCCUCGCUGCAUUCAUCACCUAGAGCCUCUCUCCCUGGGAGCAGGGCCUGAACUCCCUGACCCUGAGCUACCCUGGAGUCAGGUCAAUCUCUAUGACUCCAAAUCACUCCAAAUUAAGUCAACAAAGUGUCCACUGAAAGGGACUGAAGCAACCGGUGCCACUGAAUGAGCCAGACUCCAGCAGCCCCUGCCACAGCCUCCUCCCCACAAGGACCCUACAACCAUGCCAUCCGGAGCCUGCAGUCCAGACACCCACCGCAGGAGCAGGGCCCAGACGGAAUCUGUACAGAAGCCUCUCCCGGAAACCCCACCCCAGCCCUCCCAGCCGAACACCCGCCCCUCACCUGGAGA